UAGUUUCAAUAUCAUUGUGAAGCAGAAUUAUUCAGGCAUUGGAUUGUUCACCCACUAAUAUGCAUGUGAGCUUGGUAUAGUCUGUCAUGAGAUCGGU